rnacentral:rRNA from 1 species
UGCAAGUCGAGCGGACAGAAGGGAGCUUGCUCCCGGAUGUUAGCGGCGGACGGGUGAGUAACACGUGGGUAACCUGCCUGUAAGACUGGGAUAACUCCGGGAAACCGGAGCUAAUACCGGAUAGUUCCUUGAACCGCAUGGUUCAAGGAUGAAAGACGGUUUCGGCUGUCACUUACAGAUGGACCCGCGGCGCAUUAGCUAGUUGGUGAGGUAACGGCUCACCAAGGCGACGAUGCGUAGCCGACCUGAGAGGGUGAUCGGCCACACUGGGACUGAGACACGGCCCAGACUCCUACGGGAGGCAGCAGUAGGGAAUCUUCCGCAAUGGACGAAAGUCUGACGGAGCAACGCCGCGUGAGUGAUGAAGGUUUUCGGAUCGUAAAGCUCUGUUGUUAGGGAAGAACAAGUGCAAGAGUAACUGCUUGCACCUUGACGGUACCUAACC